UCCUCUCAGGAAAUCCUCAGGAGCUGAGGGGAGGAUUUGGUGAUCUACAGGUGUUCUUCUGCUCCAAUCCAGAUUCUGCCCUUUGAAUGAUGCAGAACUGAGAUGGGAGGCUCGAAGGUUCUGGGAGAGUAGGCUGCAAAGCCAUCGCAUGCAGCUUCAGAGACAUUGCCUUUCUCCCCCUACACCUUCCAAUGGGGGCAAGAAUCUGCACCUUGGAUUGGAGUUUCUCCCUGGGUAACAGAUAACUCAUGCUACAAGUAACCCCUCUGGAGCUGGUGGUUCCUGACAUAUUGCACUAAGCCUGGAGGGCACUUGCCCCUGGGCUACAGCAGUGAUGGCUGCAGAGCUCAGGAUCCCGCUUCCCAGAAGGCCUAGAAUGCAGGAGGGGGAGAUAGAACAUGCUGGAAGCUAUCACCAGAGCCAAUCAGAAGCCAGGACUCAGAGACAAAGGGGUUGUCUUACAUUUGUUUGUUGGCUGUUGAUGGAGUGGAGCAGAGAGUGAAGCAUCACAGCCUGGGAGGUCACCAUUGACUUUCCCACUCUUAUACAAAAGGAGACUUUGAACCCUACUGGUGGCUACUGGGCCACAUAUGUCAGCCCAGCAAAGACCAGCAACCUGGGGGCUGAGGAGUGAUUCGUGGUCAGGCUACCGAGAGCUACCCGAAUUGUCCGCUAGACUGUAGAGCAGGGAGCCUCAAGACCAUCCCUUCCAGGGUGAAGAUCUUUUCUAGGAUGGACAUACUAAGAAGGAUUCUAAGGAGGAAGUUCCUCAGGUGGCCCUGGAGCCAGAGUGAGGCAGCUGUCAGUGACCACAGUCAGACAGUGACCCCUCGGCCCCUACUGGGGGGGGAAAGCAGCUCCCAGCCAGUCCAGGAGAUGGACAAGCCCGAUCUUCCUCACCAGAAGGAGACCAGCUCCCAGAGCAAGUCUGAGGGGGGAGAGGCCGCAUCCAGGCUGAGAUGGAGGUGGCCCAAGUUGUGUCUGAGCAAGCAGGAACCAGUGCAAGAUGGGAGCUGGCAACAGGCAUCACCCUCUCCCCGAUGCAAUGACUCCCAGUGACCAGUUGCAGGAGGAGGAGACAGAUCUGAUCACGGAGGAUGCUGCCAGGAAGGUUGUCAUGGAGCAUCUCCAGGGUGGAGGCAAGCUGGGUUCAGGAUGUGGCUGAGCAGAUCCAGUUCCUGCAUGCCAUCUCCCCCAUGUAUUUCACCACACAGAAGAGCGAGCAGGACACUCUGGAGCCACCCUGCUCCAAAGCAGCCCUGGUGGAGAAGAUUGCAGAGCUGACUGAGGAGCUGCCCUUGGACUCUGCGCUCAACUCCAUCCUCUCCUGCUCCCAGAACUGUCCGAGUUCCCCCAGAUGUGGUGCCUCGUGGCACAGCUGGGACUCUACAUCACGGACCCAGCAAAGGAUAUCAGCCAGCAGGCCAGGGAUGAGAUCUACUGGCUGUACCAGCUGCUGCUGCACUGGAGCAGCAAGCAAUCCCAGCAGUGCAUUGGGACCCUAUAGACAUGAGCCCCCUGAUCUGAGACUGACCCCAGCUAGAUGAUGAGUUCAUCUCUUCCCUCUGCCAUUAGGAGCGAAUGUGAGGGAAAGUGCUAAUGAAACCAGGUCUCUUACCCCAGAGCCCAGCUCUGUCCCCUCACCCUGGGGAAAUGACCCCCCCUUGGGUCUGCCAGCUGGGCAGGGCACAGGAGAGGAGCUGCUGGGAGACAUGGAGGGAAAGGAGCCAAAGUGAAGGGAGGGGGGCAGUAGCAUGGGCCACAGGGUAGGGACACCAGACUGGGGGUGGUGCCAGUUGGUACCGAGGGCCAGAGCCUGAUCCCAGUGGGAGCGGGAGGGUUCAGCAUUUGGCCCCAUCAUUAUAGGGAGCCAAUCCCAGAGCCUAAAGACUGAAGGGGUCACAUGAUUCCUGUGAUGGGCCCCCUGGAUACUUCACCCCUGGAAGGAGCCCUGCUCUUCCAUUGGCCAUGGAUGUAGCAAAAGACUUGACCACUGCACUGCCACCAAUGGGAAUGGAAGGAAACGAGCACCAAAACUGGAAUGACAAGUUGGACCCAUGUCUUUCUGUCCCCGAGGACUGAGCAUCCAAGAGGCCAGAGAGCUGUGGAGCAAGGAUGGGCCCCAAGAGUCCUGGCUCCUGACCUACGUGAACACAGCAAGGUGGGGCAGGUGAGGGCACUUAGCCAGGGAAUUGCAUGAGCUUAGCACAGGAGCUCUCUGCAGCAGCUGCAUCCUAGAUUCAGGACAAGAGUCUGCUACUUAUUCCCAGCUUGUGGCGUUCCUCUUUCAGCCCUGGGAGGAAGUUAGUGCUGAAGUACCAGAGUUGGAGCCUUCCUAAUGGCUGAGGUUUGUGUGUUACAUGGAUUCACAGCUAUGUGGCAUAAAGACAGUCCCUGGGAGGGUGAGUUAACACAGUGUUGUACCUCUAGGGACUCGGGUCCCAACACUGUCUCCCUGGCUGGUAUCCGAGUGUAUGGUACUGCACCAUAGGAAAGGCUCAUGGGAAUGGGACCUGACAGAGUCACCUUGCCCUUGUCAGAUUGAAGUUUGGAUUCCCUGUCGAACAAACCCAUGAGCUGCAGAUGCCAGAUCCAGUUACUGGAGAAAUCACUCAUGGGAGGGCACUCAAAUCUUGGGCUGUCAUCUCCAAAAGCCCCAGGUCUCUAGUGACUGAGCUCCAGGAGAUCUCACUCCUGGGAGCAGUGGUAAGUCCCAUAUGGUCUCUGUCAGCUACACUUGAGAGCAUGGCAUGCUCUCACACAGAUACAUUCCUAAUAUGGCAUGGGCCUUGCAAUGAGUCCUGCUCCAGAAAGAGCCAUUAGAGCCUUUUGUAACCUUUGUCAGUGAAGGGUCUUCCCUGAAACCUGGGACUCCAAAGGGACUCCAGGAGAACUAGCUGCCUUGGCCACAGUGGAUCUCUACCUGUCCUUUAAGGAAGCUAUGGAAUGAUACCCUUCCAGCCUGAGGAUGUGGAGCUGAGCUCUGGGCAUACCCAGAGAAGGUGUCCUGGGACCUGGACAAUGUUGUUUCCUGCAGGACAUUUCAACAAUAAUCAUAGGUAGAGAUCAUGUCUUUUGUACAUCUUCACUGAUACCCUUUUCUGCUUUUCAACUCUACUUGUUCCAAGACAAACCAACCCUUCAUCUCCCAGACUCCUGAUUUCCUGCCAUAUGAUGGCAGAAUGAUAUGCAUGCUUUUCUCCCACCCCCACCAUUUUCUUAGGGGAAUUUCUCUAGAGCAGUGGAGAAAUGUCCUCUCCUCAUAGAACCAAGCCCUCACUAAUUCCACCAGUACUGGCCUCAUCUGAACUGCUUUGUUUACCUGGGAGUGUGGUCAUCUUCAGAAAAUCCUGUGUGUGUGGAGGUGGGGGCAGUAGUUUUCCCUUAAGAAUACUACCCUUUCUUUCCAUGGUCUAUCUAGGAUCCACCAUCCAACAUGAAAACAAACACCUAAUGGGAGCUGCUAGAUUAUCUUUGUGUCAUAUCCUCAGGUGAGUUUGUGAUCACCUGCUGCCCCUCCAGUGAGCAGCAGACAUACACAUAUAAUGACUCCUUAUCUGGUACCAUUUCUACCAUCCAGUAGUCACACCUGGUCUCCUUUAGAGUUAAAAGGUUUUAGGCUUUUGCCCCCAGGAACAGGAAAACCCAGAGAUAGACUCUUGCAUGUGGUAAUUAUUAUGUAGUGUCACUUUGGAAGCUGCAGUCAGGGGUCUAAAUAACUUAGCAGCACAGGCCAGUCUUAGAGGUGAAAAUAACAGAUCUUGUUUAUUACACUAGGGCUAAAUAUAAUCUACCAUGGAACUGGAAGAAUGAAAGAAAUUCUUUUAUUCAUAGAAACUGCUCAUAUUACCCUAUCUGUUUUAAGAGUAGCUUGAGCUUCUGAAUUAUUUACAAAUAGACAUAUGUUUUGUACUGUGACCUAUUUGUCUGUGUACUGUGACCUGUCCUUGGGGUAGGUUACUGGAAUGGCUUUGGGAGUCCCUCACUCCUUCCGAAAACUUUCUCUCCUCCAGAACGUCCCACGAUCUAUCUAUGUGAGGAACAUUUGAGGCUAGGGACACCAAGCUGAGCUCUCUUAAGGUUCCCUCCUCAAAGCUCUACUAACCCUUUUUAAGUUAGUCUACUCUCCAGGCAAGUCUAGCUGGACCUUCUGUCACCAUACCUAGAUCUCCCUUUCUCUUGAGAUCCAAUCUCCAGCUGUCACAAUGACCAAACUGCCUAGAGGUUCCAACCCCCCCACUUAGGAGUUUCUUCACACUUCCCCCCUUUCUUGGAUGACCAUCUCAAGCUUGCACCCAGUGCUGAGAUGUUUCCAUAAUGCCCCUAGCAUUCCUGCCAUGACAGUCCAUAUGAUUUUGCAUUCUUUGCUCCUUUCUGGUGCUGUAUGGUAAAAAGAGUAUUGAUGCAGAACUAUGCUCCAUUGUAACAGAUUUGCAUUAUCCUUGCAUACCCAGUGCAACCAUGACAGUGAGUUAUGAUCUGUCAUCACUGUGAACUCCCUCCCAUACAAAUAUGGCAUUCACUUCUUUAGUGACUAUACAAUGCCUAAGCAUUCAUUUUCCACAAUGACAUAUGCCUCCUCUCACAGUUGAAACUUGCUGCUCAAGUAAACCACUGGGUGCUCCCUCUCCCUAGAAUUUACUUGCCUGAGAACUGCCCUCAACCCAAACUUAGAUGCAUCUACGUGUACAUACAUUGUUGAUUAUAGUCCAGAGUGUAUAAUGCUGGAGCAUGGCAGAUAUUCAAAAAGAUAUUCAAAAGCCCUGUCACAAUUCCCUGUCUGUACAACUGUAUCAGGCAUUCUUUUUAGUAAAGCUUCCGGGGUGCUGGUAGUUACCUGUGACACCAGACUACUGCAACAAAUAUGUAUUCCUUGUAUUGCCUUUUGGCCUAAAGAAUGGACCCAAGAUAUUUCAGAGAAUGGUAAAUCGAAUUCUGAAAGCGACGUCAGGAUUCACAGCAGCCUGUAUGGAUGCAUUGCCAUAUUUAGUGAUAUGUAGGGUGAACAUCAUCAGACAAGUAUUACGGACGUUAGGGGUGGCGGGACUCUCAAUCAAAGCCAGCAAGUGCCAACUUGGAAGGGCUGCGGUGUCUUAUUUGGGACUUAGAGUGGGGAGCAGAAAGCUAAGCCUGAAAACUGCAAAGGUGCAGGUGAUCCAGGAGUGAGGUAGGCCGGAACAAAGUGGUAGGUGAGGGCAUUUCUAGGGACUGCAAGAUCCCGGGUUGCUGUCCAGGGUGUUCUCAUCUAGGAGGACUUCAAGGAUCCAGCAUGAGAUAACAAGAGUCUCAUGUGCCUAGACAUCCACUGCUCUUGGUUGCCUAGGAAACCUUGACUCACUCGCUGCCCUGCUUUUUUGAAUUUUCACACAUUCCAACUGUCCCUAUCAUUGGUAAAUCAAGUAAACGGUCCUUUCAACGGUUAUAUUCAGAUUCCCAACCGUCACUGGCCAAGUCAGUUAACUAGAUCUUUCAACUGUCAUCUUGAAAGUCCCGACCCUUUCAGGCCUGACAGCUGCCUCAGGAAAUUUGCUUGACCCAUCCACCAAGUUUCUCUGUUAGCAUCACCUCAGACUGGGUGUUUGCUAACUCUUCCAGCUAGAACAUUUUGCUUUCACUCUCUCCUUUCUGUCAGAACUUCUCCUCCUGAUAUAAUCCUGUUCCUGGCAGUGAUAGUCCACCAGCUUUCUGUGGUGAAAUUGUUUCCUGACAGGAAAUCUCCUCCCCUGAUAAUGUUGUCACACCAUUGACCCCAAAAUAUUAAAACAAAAUCACGCAAGUAUAUAUAGGUCCAGUAUAUGACCCCUCUUGAUGAACAGCUGACACAUAUACAUAUAAAUAUUUGGUGACUCUAUCUGGUACCAUUUCUGCCACCAUCCAGUAUUCAUGCCUUGUCUCUUUUAGGCUUGGAGUUAAAAGGUUUUAGGCUUUUGUCCCCAGGAACUGGAAAACCCAGAGAUAGACUCUUGCAUGUGGUAAUUAUUAUGUAGUGUCACUUUGGGAAGUUGUAGUCAGGGGUCUAAAUAACAUAGCAGCACAGACCAGGAUUAGUCUUAGAGAAAAUAACAGAUCAUGUUUAUUAUGGUAGGACUGGAACUGGAAGUAUGAAAGAAAUACUUUUAUUCACAGAAACCGCUCAUAUUACCCUAUCUGUUUUAAGACUAGUUGAGCUUCUUUGUUAUUUACAAAUAUUCAUGUCUGAUGUCACCUCUCAGCACCAACCCUUGCUACUGGGGUACUGGGAUGGCCUUGGAAGUCCCUCGCUUUCUCUGAGGAAUCUCUCUCUUCCAAAGCUCCCCACCUCUGUGGAGAGCAUCUGGGGCUCAGGACACCAAGUUGAGCUCUCCUCAGAGCUCUACUCUCCCAUCUUAAGUUAGCUUCCCUUUCCAGGCAAGUCUAGCCAGACCUUUGUCUGACCCUCUGGCUCCCUGUGCCCUUUGAGGCCCUGACACGUUCCCAGGUCCCUCCCCUUGAAGGAGGUGCAGUCCCCUCACUGACAAUCUUUAAAUCAGCAUUGGUGUUUCUGUAGCAGAUCUGCCCUAGAUACUGUGUUUGGGGGAAGCUCAUGCCCUGUGCUAUACAGGAGCUCAGGGGCACAAUGGCCUCUACUGGCCUUGGGAGUUAUGAAUCUAUGAGGGCUGCUCUCCAACUGUCUUCUUGACCCAACUGCCCGGAGACUCCACCCCCUCUGGCGAUGUCACUGCUGGUGAUGUCACCAGCCUCCGCAGGUCCUGUCUAUUGGAUUUGAUGUUUUAAAACCCUGUUGAGCGAUUGCUGGUGUUGCAUCCUGCAUACCACUGCUCAGCUGGCAGCCUCCACCAGGCAGUCUGCUGGCUGGAUCACUACAGCCCUUCUGGUCUGGUUGCUUUGGACACACUGAAGAAUAUUGUGUGCUUUAUGUAUAUCCCUUUGCUGCAGGAGUGAGAUAGAAGCACAUUUCCCCCUGUACUCAUAGCGAUCACUCCCAUGCUUGUCAGUGCCUGCUCUCAAGACAAUUUAUUAAGCUUCUGCUAUGAAACUUCAUUAGCAUGAUUUACAUCAGGGUUGCUUUAGGUUUGAAUAUAUUGCAGCCUAUAAAAAUCCUCAGCCCUUUUUGUCUCAAGCCUCUGAGAGUCAGUGACAGUGAUGGUACAGUUCUGAAUAGCAUAUCCUAUAGUGCUAGUGCCCAUCUUGCUCCUGGGUUGCUAUGGCAACACAAAGACUCAGAACGGGCAUAAUCAGAUUUUGUAGCACAAAGGAGAUCUUAUGCAGUGGAUCAGAAGUGUGUGGAAUAUGUAAUCUGUAAAUGUAAAAUUCUCCCCACACAUAUAGGAGAAAAAAUGAAGUAGGUUAGAAAAGCAUAGAAUCAUAGAUUCUAGGCCAGAAGGGACUACUAUGAUCAUCUAGUCUACUCUCCUGCAUAGCACAAGUCAUAGGCCUUCCGUAAAAUAAUUCCCAGAGCAGAUCUUUUAGAAAAAAAAUCCAAUCUUGAUUUAAAAAUGGUCAGUGAUAGAGAAUCCACGACCCUGGAUAAAUUGUUCUAAUGGUUAAUGACUCUCACCAUUAAAAAUGUACACCCUAUUUCCACUCUGAAUUUGUGUAGCUUCAACUUCCAGCCAUUGGAUUGCAAAGCCUUUCUCUGCAAGAUAGAAUACUAAAUAUGUGUGCCGCAUGUAGAUACUUAUAUGGUUCACUGUUGGGUCAUAUAUUUUUCAAAUCCAUAGUCCAAAGGCUCGGCUGAGGAUAUAUUUGUAUUACGUACCACAUAGUCUAUAUCUCUCCCACUUCAAUACUGAGUGUACCUCCCUACCUUUCAAGCUGCUGGUGUGUGACAUCAACAAUCAGAAUAUGCGACACCUGUAUUUUGUUAUGUGUUGUCCCAUUACAGACCGAUUAUAAUUUAAAAAAAAUAUAUAAACCUUGUUUUAAAGGAUGUUUUAAAAAAUCAAACACAGGUUAUUGAAUUUACACAGUGAGAACUGAAAAAAAUAAUUCACUCACAUGAAACUAUAACAACACACAAAGGUCAGCAGCAGCAGUUGAAGUCUGGCACUUCAAAUCCUCAGGGAUUUGGGAGGCUGGAGGGCAGAUUUUGGAUCUAUGAAUGAGCACAUUUAUAAAUUAUUUGUAAAAAAUCUUUUGCUCAAAGCUGUGCUGUACAAGUUCAGGACCUCUGUGAGAAUACAGACAAAAAAGAGAGCUAAAUCUGUGAUUAUAAUUUGUUUUGUUUAGAUGUUUGGAGCAUUUUUGCCAGCCAGAUCUAUUAUGAUGUAUACUGGGCCAGUCUCCUCUCCUCCAUUUGCCAAAUAAAUCUUUAACAAAGGCAAAAUGUAUUACUUCUAGCCUUUCAACGAAGCGGUGAGAGUUCACAAGAAAAGCUGCACUGUGAUAGAAAACGGGUCACCCAGACUUGACAUUCCUGCCAUUUCUAAGGUAAAACACAAGCAGAAAUUCCCCGGCAAGUUUUCCCUUAAAAAAAAAUCAUUUAUCCAUCACAAAGGAGCAAAAAAGGGUGCACCUCCCUCCCCCAUUUAAAAAAAACAAGACUCUUUGCAGGUUACCUUUACCUGUCCAUGUGAAGCUCAAUAUCCCCCCAGUUGAGAGGUGGGGGCAGGGAAUCAUUAAGUUUUGAUUAGCACUUAUGGCAAAAAACAAGCUACAGAGGAGAAAUGUCUGUUUCUAAAGACAGCGCCUAGUUUUUGGUUUCCAGAUACUGUUGUUAUGGUACAUUCAAUGUGUGUGGGCUUGUUUGAUAACCAGCAUUUUCAUAUCAAGCAUGUAAAUAAUUAUAUACUGAAUCAGCUGACAUUCAGCCUAACGCACAGAUGGCCAGGGAGAUAACAGGGUGAUCAUCCAGGUUAAUUCUAGACAUAGGCCUGCCCUGAACUGAAACUCUCAGAUUUAUGAGUGCUGCAAACGCGGGAGAUAUUCAGAACCUCAUUCAAACCAUGGCUCUUAUGGUCCCAAUCCUGUGACUAGAUUUGUGUGGGAGUCCUGUCUGUAUCUCUCCUCUCAUCCUCUUACAGAAUCUUUACUGGGAAAUCACUUUUCCUGUAGCUUGCUAACUGCCAAAGAUUUCUGUAGAAACCACUUCAAAUUGCACAGAAACAGCUGAGACCAGACUGAACAACAGGGUUGAGGAGACUGACUAGUUUGUAUACUGAAUAGCUGCUGGCAAGACGUGAGUGAGUAUUGCAAUAGAGAUCUCCCCUAGGGUAUUAGUCAUCAUCUCCUAUUUCCAAUGUCAAGGUUGGGUAAGGCUGACUUUUGUCAGUUUCUUGGCUUUGGUACUUAGACUGCCAGCCACCUCGAGGCUAGGCCCAUUUUAUAGCUGGGGAACUGAGGCAAAGAGAGGCUAAGUGAAUUGCCCACGGGCAUGCAGGAUGUUUGUGGCACGGCAUGAACCUAAACCCAGGUACCCUAGGCAGAGCCCUAACCACCAAAUCAUUCUUCUUCUCUUUAGGAUAUUAGUGGUAUCACAAAAGCAGCCCCACCCCUCUCUGUUGGAUUGCAGCAGCAGUGUAAAGCACCCAAACCAACACAAAGUGUGCACUCAUCAGCACCUUGGCCCAGUGCUGCAAUAGCCCCAAGUGAUAAAAAGGAUGCUAAAGAAACAAACAGGAAAAUCCCCCAGCCCCUCUAAACUUCAGGUAAAUUCAGACUCAAAUAUGAUCUGAAUUUCACUGCUUAGUCCUCUCUCUAUUCCUAAUCUACAGAAGUAAGCAAAGUUCAGGUUCUUCCGAGAUAUGCACAUUUUGCCCAUUACCAACCCUCUGAGCCAACUACGAUUCCUUAUCGCUAAGCCCGACAUGGUGUGACAAAGUGGGAUUUGUUCAUAAUGUUUUGUAUGGAUAUUAUGUGUGCCUGGACAUUUGGUACCUAGCAACUAACCAGCAUGGAUGGCAGAUACCUCUGCGGGAAGCCAGCCUGUUGUGACCACCUGAAGAACAAAAGAUUGAGGAGGAGCUGUGAAG